AUGUUCAUGUGUGAGCCAGAAAUGCUCGUGUGGGUGUGUGUGUGUGUGUGUGUGUGUGUGUGUCUGGAAUGUCGUCGUGCUGUGACCAAAAAGGGCGGGUGUUUCUUUCCUUUGAUGCUCACGAGAGUGUCUCUGGAUCAUCUCGAAGGUGUAAUAAAUGUCACGAGGGCUGGGAUGUUAUCGACAUCGCGGCGCCCGAGGGGGGGUUUUAUGUUGGAGGAUGUCGUAAAAACAAAAGUCCUUAUCUUUUGUUUUUUUGUUUUUUUGAAGUUCUUCUCUCUGAGUGCAGGACGUGUUAGAGACUCAGGAUUCAUUAAUAUGAAACAGAUGGUUGAAUACCAUCCGCUCAUUAGUGUUACAUAUAUAUAUAUAUAUAUAUAUAUAUAUAUAUACACACACACACACACACACACACACACACACACACAAACAAACACACUACACACUACACACUUAUAUUUAUCUUAUAAAUGUUCUUGUACGCAGUGGUGGACGAAGUACACAAUCAUCAAGUACUUGAGUAAGAGUACAGAUACGUAUAGUAAAAUAUUACUCCAGUAAAAGUAAAAGUACUCCUUUUUUCAAUUUUACUCGAGUGAAACUACAAAAGUACUCGAUUUAUUUUGUCCUUAAGUGAAAAAGUACUGAUAUAUAGAUUUAUUUUGCAAUUUUAUAUAGGCUAUUUAAUUUAAUUUUAUAUUAACACAUAUUUUUAAUAAUCCUACUGCUCAAAAUACCUGGGAUUACCCCUAAAUAACCACUAUAUGGAGUCUAGAUAUAUUUUCUUUGUUGAUAUGGGUUAUGUUGAGGAGGGUGAUGUAGUAAUGUUCACUGUGAAGCUUACACUGUGAUGUACCUGAGAGAAAACAUCUGAUUUUCACCAGUAAGAAAAAAGUGUUUUAAAGUUUGUUUUGCAGAACAUCACAGUUAUAUUGUGACACUGUCACACAAGGGACAUUGUGAUGGCCAAAGAUGUGGCCACACCCAAGGACGGUAAUUGAGAACACAUAUGCAUACAUGCGGUCUUCUUUUCUUCUUUCUGGGGGGGGGGUUCAAGAUUAAUUGCAUGAUGGUCUGUUUAUUAUAAUUCUAUGUAUAUUUUGUUGUUUAUAUUACUUUGGGUAUAUUACUUUGUUUAUGACCCAGUGCUUCAUAUUUCUGAAAUUAAUUACUUUAGUUAUUUUACUGGUGUUAGGUGAUGUAGGUGUCUUCCCCUGUGUAUGUGUAGUGGACUAGUCCUUUGUGUAUAUAAGUUUCCCAGGUGUGUCGUUUGGGGGUUGUUGUCUUGUUAAGUUUGGUUCUGUUCAGUUGACCUUUUUAGUUUGAACUUUAUUUUCAUUCAGUUCUAAGUUAUUUACUUUGUAACUUUGUUUGGCAUUUAAUAAAUGAUUUUCUUUAUUCGGAGAUCCUGCAUUCUUUGCCCUUGACUGCUUGGUCCUUCACAUAUGGUGUCAGAAGUGGGAUUAGCGAAGGGUGCAGGUUUCCCCCCAUUUUUUUUUUUGUUUUUUUUUGGCCUUCCCCUUUCCCCCCUGUGGUUUGUUGAGCGAUGAGUCGGCCUGGAAGGAAGGGGCCACCAAAGGCAGCGCUAAUGGAAGCAAGGGAGGAAGAGGUGGAGAUCAUGGUGGAUGAGGAGGAAAUAGUCGCAGAAGAGUCAGGAGGGCAGGAGCCAACGCUUGCAGAUCUGACAAGAUUGUUCCGAGCACACAUGGCGCAAAUGGAUGCUUGAGAAACCGGGAGGGCUCAAGAGCAAAAGGAGCAAGAACGACGAUUUAAGGGACUGCAGCAUCAGUUUGGCCUGCUUCAAAUGGAGGUGCAAGCUCGUACUUCAUACACUCCUGGUCCAAUUGUUGCGAAUUGGAUGGGGACCCUGGCAGUAGUCGACCACUCGUUAAAGGAAGUGAAAGGGAACUUCGAGUGGAGCACGAUAGAGGUCAGUCCCUGAUUAAAGACCUUAAAUUAGAGAAAUUAAAUGACUCCGGUGAUAUAGAACACUUUUUGAUAACUUUUGAAAGAAUUGCGGCAGCGUGUUGUUGGCCUAAGGCUGAUUGGGCGUUCCGCCUGAUUCCCCUAUUGACUGGUAAAGCUUGAGCGGCAUAUGUAUUUAUGGAUAUUGACGACUCUCUUAAUUAUGAUAGUGUGAAGUCAGCUAUUUUGAGGAAGUACGACAUCAAUUCAGAAACUUAUCGACAAAGAUUUCGUUUCCGAGAAGUUGAAUCAUCUGAGAGUCCUAAAGAGCUGUAUGCCAGGUUGAAGGAGCUGUAUGGGAAGUGGAUUCGACCAAAAGGGAAAACAGUGGAGGAAAUUGGAGAAAUAAUUAUUCUUGAGCAGUAUCUCAGAAUGCUCUCUCCUGAGCUCCAGGUAUGGAUCCGUGAGCGGGGCCCUGAAACUGCUGCCGAAGCUGCAUCAUUAGCGGACGUGUUUGUUGCUGCCCGGGGAAGGAACCAGCCAUGGAGUUGGCGGGGUGGCAGAGACUCUCGCAAAUCCCAGGUCUAUCCUCCGUCCCAGUACCACUCCUUUGGUAAGCCUCCCUUAGGAGGAAAGUUUGACUCUGUAACAUCAGUUAAGUCGCCUAAGAAAG
ensembl:lncRNA